UGGCUCAGGACGAACGCUGGCGGCGUGCUUAACACAUGCAAGUCGAACGAUGAAGCCCUUCGGGGUGGAUUAGUGGCGAACGGGUGAGUAACACGUGGGCAAUCUGCCCUUCACUCUGGGACAAGCCCUGGAAACGGGGUCUAAUACCGGAUAACACUUUCCCUCUCAUGGGGGAAGGUUAAAAGCUCCGGCGGUGAAGGAUGAGCCCGCGGCCUAUCAGCUAGUUGGUGGGGUAAUGGCCUACCAAGGCGACGACGGGUAGCCGGCCUGAGAGGGCGACCGGCCACACUGGGACUGAGACACGGCCCAGACUCCUACGGGAGGCAGCAGUGGGGAAUAUUGCACAAUGGGCGAAAGCCUGAUGCAGCGACGCCGCGUGAGGGAUGACGGCCUUCGGGUUGUAAACCUCUUUCAGCAG
rnacentral:rRNA from 1 species